rnacentral:tRNA from 1 species
GCUUGGGUGGCUCAGUUGGUUGAGUGUUCAACUCGAUUUCAGCUCAGGUCAUGAUUUCAAGGUUCGUGGGUUCAAGUCCCAUGUCAGGCU